rnacentral:rRNA from 1 species
UACAGAGGUCCCGAGCGUUGUUCGGAUUCAUUGGGCGUAAAGGGUGCGUAGGCGGCGCUGUAAGUGGGGUGUGAAAUCCCGGGGCUUAACUCCGGAACUGCAUUCCAUACUGCGGUGCUUGAGGGCUGGAGAGGAGACUGGAAUUUACGGUGUAGCGGUGAAAUGCGUAGAGAUCGUAAGGAAGACCAGUGGCGAAGGCGGGUCUCUGGACAGUUCCUGACACUGAUGCACGAAGGCCAGGGGAGCAAACGGG